GUAAUGCCUAGGAAUCUGCCUGGUAGUGGGGGACAACGUUUCGAAAGGAACGCUAAUACCGCAUACGUCCUACGGGAGAAAGCAGGGGACCUUCGGGCCUUGCGCUAUCAGAUGAGCCUAGGUCGGAUUAGCUUGUUGGUGAGGUAAUGGCUCACCAAGGCGACGAUCCGUAACUGGUCUGAGAGGAUGAUCAGUCACACUGGAACUGAGACACGGUCCAGACUCCUACGGGAGGCAGCAGUGGGGAAUAUUGGACAAUGGGCGAAAGCCUGAUCCAGCCAUGCCGCGUGUGUGAAGAAGGUCUUCGGAUUGUAAAGCACUUUAAGUUGGGAGGAAGGGUUGUAGAUUAAUACUCUGCAAUUUUGACGUUACCGACAGAAUAAGCACCGGCUAACUCUGUGCCAGCAGCCGCGGUAAUACAGAGGGUGCAAGCGUUAAUCGGAAUUACUGGGCGUAAAGCGCGCGUAGGUGGUUUGUUAAGUUGGAUGUGAAAGCCCCGGGCUCAACCUGGGAACUGCAUCCAAAACUGGCAAGCUAGAGUACGGUAGAGGGUGGUGGAAUUUCCUGUGUAGCGGUGAAAUGCGUAGAUAUAGGAAGGAACACCAGUGGCGAAGGCGACCACCUGGACUGAUACUGACACUGAGGUGCGAAAGCGUGGGGAGCAAACAGGAUUAGAUACCCUGGUAGUCCACGCCGUAAA
rnacentral:rRNA from 1 species